ensembl:lncRNA
UAUAAAACUGUUGAGGGGAUAUUGAUAUCUAAUAUAGUGUUGCCAUGGCAACAUAUCAAACUGGAAUAUUUUUUUCUGUAUAAUAUAUUCUGAUUUUUGAGGCAGAUAACAUGCUUAGAAUUUCAUGAAACUCAGAACACAUAUCAGUAUUAAUGAUAGCUAGACACUGGCAAAAGGUCAUAAAAGGGCGUGGAGGAGGCACUCUAUAGCGCCACCUUUUGUCAAAAGUGGGGGGCUUAGUUUUAGCUACAGACACCAAACUCGGUACAUGUAUUGUUCUUAUUAAGACGGACAACUUUCUAAUUUACAGUCAUUAGCUACGACCAACAGGAAGUCGGCUAUUUUUGAUUUGAAUAUGGAUUUUUUUGGCUCUGUGUGAGGAAUGUAUGUGUGCUGAGACUUUCAUUGUCUGAGAGAAAAUGCGCCUCUACAGGAGCAAUUCCCGGGACUGAGAGGGAGGAGUCUCGCUUAGUUUCACUUUUAAAUCGGUUAAAAAUACAACUAAAUAAAUCAAUUUAAUUCACACUGACAAGCUAAACCAACAUAUCUUAUUAUUAGCGGGUCAGGGCUUAUCGAUGUCUGGCCAGAGAACAGAGCUAGACGAGAGAUAUGUCACCGCUCCGAACAGCGCGUGCUGUCUCAACGAGCUCACAACAAACGAGUUUAUUGUUGUUUAAGACCUUUUAAAAAUAAAAUAUUACGGCGAUUGCACACAAUCCGCCAAUUAGAACACACCAAGAGCUAAAUUCAGAUGUUUGUGAGUGUUAAAAUGAAAUAUUUGCUGCAGCCUGUCUGACAGCGCGAGACUUCUGAACACUUGAAGGGAAAAAGUCUACAUACAGAAUCUACAGCCUUUUACAUGAAAACACAGCGGCGAAUUAACACAAAACAAUUAGAAGAACAUAUUAUAGAGAUGAAAAUGAGUGUUUAUGAGUGCUUGUGAGAUUUUCUUUGUCUAAGGGCUGAACAUCACAUCGAUUGCUCUGCGCUCCAGAACACGGUGAUGGUUUUUCGGCGAGAACGGACAAAUAAAUACACGUUUCAUUCACACUGACAAGCUGAACCAACAUAUGUUAUUAUUACCGGG